rnacentral:lncRNA from 1 species
AAGACUUAUGCAAAAUAAACAUCCGUCAAGGUCAUGAAAGACAAGGCAAGACUGAGAAAAUUUGAAAGGACUGGAGGCAACUGAAGAGAAAUCACUCCUGAAUGCAAUAUGGACCCUGGAGCAGAUAAAGGACAUUAGUGAAAAACAGGUUGUCAAUUUCUUCAUAAGCAGUCUGCUGGGAUUUGUUUGAGAACGUAUUAAAGAGAUCAACUUGGGUCAAAUGGACAAAAGAGUGUUGAGUCCUUCGAUUUAUGAACAUGAGGUAUC